AUUGAACGCUGGCGGCCUGCCCAACACAUGCAAGUCGAGCGAGCGGCGGACGGGUGAGUAAUGUCUGGUAAACUGCCUGAUGGAGGGGGAUAACUACUGGAAACGUUAGCUAAUACCGCAUACCAUCAGAUGUGCCCAGAUGGGCUUAGCUAGUAGGUGGGGUAACGGCUCACCGAGGCGACGAUCCCUAGCUGGUCUGAGAGGAUGACCAGCCACACUGGAACGGAGACACGGGCCAGACUCCGACGGGAGGCAGCAGUGGGGAAUAUUGCACAAUGGGCGCAAGCCUGAUGAAGCCAUGCCGCGUGUAUGAAGAAGGCCUGCGGGUUGUAAAGUACUUUCAGCGGGGAGGCGUUACCCGCAGAAGAAGAACCGGCUAACGCCGUGCCAGCAGCCGCGGUAAUAC
rnacentral:rRNA from 1 species